rnacentral:rRNA from 1 species
UACGUAGGGGGCAAGCGUUGUUCGGAAUUACUGGGCGUAAAGGGCGCGUAGGCGGCAGGCCAAGUCGGGCGUGAAAGCCCGGGGCUCAACCCCGGAAUGUCUUUCGAAACUGGCCAGCUGGAGUGCGGAAGAGGCAACUGGAAUUCUCGGUGUAGCGGUGAAAUGCGUAGAUAUCGAGAGGAACACCUGCGGCGAAGGCGGGUUGCUGGGCCGACACUGACGCUGAUGCGCGAAAGCCAGGGGAGCGAACGGG